rnacentral:rRNA from 1 species
GACGAACGCUGGCGGCGUGCUUAACACAUGCAAGUCGAGCGGAGCGGCGAACGGGUGAGUAACGCGUGAGUAACUGCCCCCCUCUCUGGGAUAACAGUUGGAAACGGCUGCUAAUACCGGCUCGUGGGGGAUGACUCGCGUCCUAUCAGCUUGUUGGUGGGGUAGUGGCCUACCAAGGCGACGACGGGUAGCCGGCCGGAAGGGGCGACCGUCCACAUUGGGCUACACUACGUCCCUAACUCCUACGGGAUGCAGCUGUGUGGCUUAUUGCCCAAUGGGGGAAACCCUGAUGCAGCAACGCACGUUCGCGAUGACGGCCUUCGGGUUGUAAACCGCUUUCAGCAAUGACGCGGUAGUGGCAGAAGAAGCACCAGCUAACUACGUGCCAGCAGCCGCGGUAAUAC